UUUCAUUUUUUUUUUCCACUAGAGGAAGCUUUAAAACUGCUGACUUCCCCCUUUGGGUUGAGAACUGCGACAUAUAAAUUAGGUCCUCUCAGAACUCUGUGUGCUCAUACGGACCUUUUUGGGACAUGUUCAGGGGAUCAAAGAGGAAACAACAGAAAAUCACGUCUCAGCCUUAAAUCAAGUUAACUACGACGCCAUGGCCCACAGCUGUGGCCCAUCAAGGCUCAUCAGUAGGAGUUCAGAAGAGAAGAUGGCUCCCUGAGACAAACAGCAGAUUCUUUGCUCAAGAAACCAGAUUCCUCCGUGGAUGUAUAUGUUCUGGACUCCUCUGCUCCACUUCCUGAUUCUCUGCGUCUGUGUGGAGAUAACCUAUUAACCCUCUUGGUAACUUCUCUCAGCGCCCUUGCCUCUUCCUUCGCUACUCUCAUCUAACUGUCCAACUUCAGUCGAUUCUUCACUCACCAGCUCCGUCCUGGAAGUGAGAAAGGAUGAAACAUCACCAGACCAUACACCAGAACGACUUUGUGGCUAAACUCACCUUCAUUGACAUCCUGGAACCUGUUGCCUAAUCCUGCUGAACAUAAUUUGUGAAAAACCUUAACAAUAAACGCUGAACAUCUG